rnacentral:rRNA from 1 species
CACGUAGGGGGCGAGCGUUUGUCCGGAUUUAUUGGGCGUAAAGAGCUCGUAGGCGGCUCAGUAAGUCAGGUGUGAAAACUCCAGGCUCAACCUGGAGACGCCACCUGAUACUGCUGUGGCUAGAGUCCGGUAGGGGAGCAUGGAAUUCCUGGUGGUAGCGGUGAAAUGCGCAGAUAUCAGGAGGAACACCGGAGUGGCGAAGGCAGGGUC